GGAGGCUCUCCUCAAGGCUCUUUCAUCUGGGUCCCCCUGGCAUCUUACCUAUCAGUCUCCCGCUGACCCCUUGCUUUAGAGGGCUUUGGAGCCUUAAUCUUAAUGAUGGCCCCAUUCUCCCGCUAACAACCCUUAAACCCAAGACUCAUUGUGUCCUUUUAUGGGACACUGAGGCAGAAAAUUUGGCCAAGUUAUCAAUGAUAAGUACUCAUUUCUAAAUCUUUUCAAAAAUACUCCUUCCCGAUUAUGGAGUAUUCAAACUUUCAGGAAAAUAAUCUAAUUUAAUAUGUACUCAGAGUGCUAAGGAAGGCGUCUUUCAGUGCAUAAACAUUUCUUUUCCUUCAUUCACGUGACUAUGUGGAUUUCAAAAAAAGAAAAAAAAAUUAAUCGCUUUGGAACUUUGAAUUACCACAUCUCUCAUCUCGCACUACUGCCUACAUCUGAAAAGUGUGCUUCUAAGUGCGGCACCGGUGUCCCUCCUGCUGCAUCUAUUUGUUUGUAGAUGCAGGUCAAGGACAUCUUAUUUGCACAGGAGGUGGAAAUACGAAGUGAAAAGGUUCACACCAUCAGAUCGCAGUUCACACUUUCUGCUUCACAGGAUCCGUAUGAGACUCUGGGAGGGGGAUGUUGCUUCCUCCAAGCCUUCAAACUGAUCCGAGGACAAAGAAGAAAGUAAAACACAUGGUCUGCAGCAUGAUUCUGGGUCAUCAUUACUGACUGAAGUAAAAAACAUAGGGUGUAGACAGAAGUGGUGCGAACCUUGGGAGAGUAGAAGAUGAGUAUCUGUGCUGUGCAUCCUGACAUUUGAAGAUCCAGUAUCAAGCAUAUCCAUCUAUCUAUGUGGCUGAGACCAUAUACUGCAGUUCAUUCACUUCGUUUUGGUUUUCGUUUUGGUUUUUUUAGUUAAGAGCUACUCAUUUUAGAGACAGAAAAGCAAGAUUCAGCUAAGUUGCAUCAUUAAAGUCUCACCAUUGACUUCAUUGGUGCAUCCUGGCUUGGUGCUUCAUUUGCUAGCCUACUUAAAUCCUCUGAUUGUUACUUUUAUGUGAUAAUCUUCCUGGACUGAGGGGUCCCAGUCAUGCUUCUUACUGUGUUUGUGCAGAUGUUCCUGAGUCAGCUGCUCUCAGAGUGAGAGGAGCUCUUUCAUCAACAAAUUGAGUAGAAGAGACCACCUGUUCUCAAUGGGUACAGGCCUCAUCCAGUCCUCUGAAGACAUAAAUAGAAUAAAAAGCUAAGAUGGAGUCCCUCCUGCCUACCUGCUCUCACCUCAGACCUUAGUGUUCGGUCUUUGCACUUAACUGGAAAUGCAAGCUCUUUGUGAAUGGCCAGCACUGUGGGUGUAGACUGCCUUGUAGGCCAACUCUUUGCAUUCCCAAGGUCUUGACAUGACUAGGACUACAUCAGCUCUCCUGAGAUGCCAGCUAGCCAACUGCAAAUCUAAGGUCUUAUUGACCCCCAUAGUCCUAUGACUAUGUAUAGUCUAGAUAGAUUUAGUAUAAAUCUUGUGUCCCUUUCUUUCUUUAUCUCAUCUCAGUCUUUCUUAGCACAUAUACACAUGUGCACACACACACACACACACACACACACACACACACACACACACACUAAUAAUAAUCAUAACAGUAAUAAUAAUAAAUAAUAAAGUAUUGUUUCUCUAAAGAAACUAGAUAUUACACACACACUUUUAAACCUUUAUAUGUGUGCAUAUAAAUACAUUUGAGUGUAUGUGUGUUGUAAAAAGUUACUACUAAUCAUCUCAAAAGCUCUGUUAAAAUAGGCACUGUUUAUAAGGUUGUUGUUAUUCUUGUUGCUAGCCUAUAGUUAAAAUUCAGAAACUAUGUUUAUAGUGGUUAACUUGGUUAUCCAUCUAAAAGAAGUCUAAAUUUACCUAAGUCCUCAUUCUCUCUCCAUGUCUUUGAUUGAUUUCCUCUAAAUGUGCACCAAAAGUCUUGAGCUUAUGUGUGUCCAUUGAUAAUAAUUUGCCCGAAGCAGCAAUUAUGGAUAAUGGUAGAGAUACAUGCCUGAGCAUUUACAAUAGUAAAAUUCCUAAACACCAAACAAUGGAUAAUCACUCUCUUCUAUUAAGGUUUUCAGUAGACAUCCCUUUAAGAAGACAAUAUACUCUACUUGGUCUACAAAGGCUUGUCUCACCCGGAAAUAUCAUCACAGACACAGGCAUACCAUAAAUAAUGGUCAUCUAAAUGUCUGGGAUCCCAUAGCCCAAAAAAGUUGGGAAGGACUGAAGGAGGGAAAGGUGGAUAGAAGGAGGAAGGAAAGGAUUGGUGGGAAGAAACAGAGGAAGAAGAUAAAUAAUUGCUGCAAGAGACUAUGGAGGCUCAUAAUCCCUGAUGUCUUCAGUCAGUCAUGAAAUGUCAUUGGUUUGAUAUAAUUAGUCGAUGAAAUCCUACAACCAUAGCAAAGCAUGCUAAUGCUUGCUUUCAGAAUAUACUGAUGGGAGUAAAAAGCAGUUAUAAACCUAAGGGAAGAGGGUCACUAACUGAACUAAUAUUCUAGAUGAGAUUUGGGGAUUGUAUUUUAACUAUAAUGUUUAUUUAGACUUAUCUCAAGGUAUGUUUACCCCUAUUUUGGAGCAGAAAAAAAUGAACGAAUAAAACUAAUGAAAUCUGAAUAAGCAGUCUAUCUUAACCUUAAUGUAUGUUAAAAAUUGGUUCGUCCAUUAAUCAUUUCUGCAUUAGUCAGUCUACUGCACCAAAUGCUGGAGGUUGUAUUCCAUAAGACAAACUGAGGAUGGAAGAUACAGAUGCUGUUCUGCUACACUCAUGUUUUUCUGCAAGUCAAAAACUCUGCUGUGGGUAAAGUUUAUUUAAAAUGAGUUAAAAGCCAUUCCAU
rnacentral:lncRNA from 1 species